GAUGAACGCUAGCGAUAGGCUUAACACAUGCAAGUCGAGGGGCAGCAUGGUCUUAGCUUGCUAAGACUGAUGGCGACCGGCGCACGGGUGCGUAACGCGUAUGCAACUUGCCUCACAGAGGGGGAUAACCCGUCGAAAGACGGACUAAUACCGCGUACACUUGGAGGGAGGCAUCUCCCAUCAAGGAAAAGAAAUUCGCUGUGAGAUAGGCAUGCGUCCCAUUAGCUAGUUGGUGAGGUAACGGCUCACCAAGGCAACGAUGGGUAGGGGAACUGAGAGGUUGAACCCCCACACUGGUACUGAGACACGGACCAGACUCCUGCGGGAGGCAGCAGUGAGGAAUAUUGGUCAAUGGGCGAGAGCCUGAACCAGCCAAGUCGCGUGAAGGAUGACUGUCUUAUGGAUUGUAAACUUCUUUUGUAGGGGAAUAAAGAACGGUACGUGUACCGUAGUGAAUGUACCCUACGAAUAAGCAUCGGCUAACUCCGUGCCAGCCGCCGCAGUAA
rnacentral:rRNA from 1 species